AGAACAGAACAGAAUCUUCAUCAUCACACAAGACUAAACAACAACAAUGAACAACAUCAUCAUCCUCAUCUGGACCAUUGCAGCUUUUAUUCAAGAAUCCAGAGGAUUUAUUGUGACUCAGCCUAAAGUUAAAACUGUCCAACAGGGUCAAAGUGUUACAAUAGAGUGUAGUACGGAUGUAGGAAUAGACUAUGACAACUUAGCCUGGUAUCAGCAGAAACUUGGAGAAACUCCUAAACUUCUGAUUUAUGACAUAAGAAGCCUUUAUUCAGGAACUCCAUCUAGAUUCAGUGGCGGUGGAUCAAAUUAUGGAACUGAUUUCACUCUGACCAUCAGUGGAGUCCAGACUGAAGAUGCAGGAGAUUAUUACUGUAAGAGUUUACACUAUCCAAACAGUAAAUAUGUGUUCACACAGUGAUAAAGAGUCGUACAGAAACCUCCGUCAGUCAGAGUCACAGUGACUGCACUGAUACAGAUGAGAGAAACUGCAGCUGUGUAUGGGAUAAUACAAUACAUAAAAUGUGGUUGCAGCAAAGAGGCUUUAAAUUUCUACAUUUUAAAUUUUAGAUUUUAAAUUUAUAUGUAAUAUCCAAUUAAAAUGAUAUUAAGGAUUUGUACAUUACUAAUACAAUAAUGGUAAUUAUCACAAAAGUCUUGUUGCAAUGGGUUCUUGAUUUGUUUUUCAAUGCAGCUUCAUCCAGGGGCAGAGCCAUCAUUUCAGAAGUGAGGGUGGGAGAAAUAAUACCCCCCCACCCCUUGUCUAAUUUAUUUAUGUAUUUAUUUACUU